rnacentral:rRNA from 1 species
GAUGAACGCUAGCGGCAGGCCUAACACAUGCAAGUCGAGGGAGAAGCCUUUCGGGGCAGAAACCGGCGCACGGGUGCGUAACGCGUAUGCAACCUACCUUUCACAGGGGGAUAGCCCGAAGAAAUUUGGAUUAAUACCCCAUAAUAUUGUUGGAUGGCAUCAUCUGAUAAUUAAAACUGCGGUGGUGAAAGAUGGGCAUGCGUCCUAUUAGCUAGUUGGAGUGGUAACGGCACCCCAAGGCUACGAUAGGUAGGGGUCCUGAGAGGGAGAUCCCCCACACUGGUACUGAGACAGGGACCAGACUCCUACGGGAGGCAGCAGUGAGGAAUAUUGGUCAAUGGUCGGAAGACUGAACCAGCCAUGCCGCGUGCAGGAAGAAUGCCUUAUGGGUUGUAAACUGCUUUUAUAUGGGAAGAAUAAGGUGUACGUGUACAUUGAUGACGGUACCAGAUGAAUAAGCAUCGGCUAACUCCGUG